CAUGAGAUAUAGUAGGUUGCUUGCAUUAGUAUUCACGAAUAUGUUGCAUUGCAUUUAUGAUGUUGAUGUGGAUUGGUCAUUGGAUGAUCCUUUAGUCCUCAUAGGAUAUGAUGAUGUUAUGGCAUGAUAUGGUAUGGAAGUCCAGGUUGUACCCAUUCUACGUCCCUGGCACGAUGUAAGAGGAAGUCCAGGUUGUACCCAUUCUACGUCCCUGGCACAGUUGGACUGUAUGAUAUGUUAUGUUAAGGGAAAGACCGGUUGUACCCAUUCUACGUCCCGGCACAGUUGGACUAUGUAGAGGACUAUUGGUGACAAUACCAUCCGAGAUGUGAUUUGUUGUGAUGUGUUGCAUUACAUAAUGGCAUGAAAUUUUAAUAUAUGUUUUCUCUAUUCUGCUCACUGGGCUUUGUAGCUCACCCCUCUCCCCUAACCCCAGAUGUGCAGGUACAGGGUAGACCAGGAGGUUAGCCAGAGAUAUGAAGUAUGU
rnacentral:lncRNA from 1 species